GGAUGUGAGGAUGGCCGUGACAUCUGUCAUCACACUGAUCAUCAGGGUUGAUUUGGCUGAUCUGUCUGGCUAAGCGGGUGUCCCCUUUCUCCCUCACUGUUCCGUGUGCAUCCCUCCCAAAACUGCAUACUCUGUGGAAGAGGACAGCCAUCCCACACUGAACCUNUACUUUCCCAAGAUAUAAAACACUUCUUCUUUGUCUAGCAACUACUUCAUAAAACUGACUGAGCAGUAUGCUGACAUUA
rnacentral:sRNA from 1 species